rnacentral:snRNA from 1 species
AUCCUCGCAUGUGGCGAUAUCAUCGCCUAUGAGGGUCUAGCCGCGCGUGAUUAUUGCUGGUUGAAAACUUAACCAAUACCCGCCGGGACAGCUUUGCAAUACAGUCCGGCCCUGGCAAUUUUGAUAGUCUCGUCAGAGA